GAUGAACGCUGGCGGCGUGCUUAACACAUGCAAGUCGAACGGAAAGGCUCCUGCUUGCAGGGGUACUCGAGUGGCGAACGGGUGAGUAAUACGUGGGUGAUCUGCCCUGCACUUCGGGAUAAGCCUGGGAAACUGGGUCUAAUACCGGAUAGGACGAUGGUUUGGAUGCCAUUGUGGAAAGUUUUUCGGUGUGGGAUGAGCUCGCGGCCUAUCAGCUUGUUGGUGGGGUAAUGGCCUACCAAGGCGUCGACGGGUAGCCGGCCUGAGAGGGUGUACGGCCACAUUGGGACUGAGAUACGGCCCAGACUCCUACGGGAGGCAGCAGUGGGGAAUAUUGCACAAUGGGCGCAAGCCUGAUGCAGCGACGCCGCGUGGGGGAUGACGGCCUUCGGGUUGGAAACUCCUUUCGCUAGGGACGAAGCGUUUUGUGACGGUACCUGGAGAAGAAGCACCGGCUAACUACGUG
rnacentral:rRNA from 1 species